GGCGUACGGGUGCGUAACGCGUAUGCAACCUACCUUCAGCAGGGGGAUAGCCCGUGGAAACAUGGAUUAAUACCCCAUAAAGCAGGGGUCUCGCAUGGGACUAUUUGCUAAAGAUUUAUCGGCUGGAGAUGGGCAUGCGUCUGAUUAGUUAGUUGGUGAGGUAACGGCUCACCAAGGCGAUGAUCAGUAGGGGUUCUGAGAGGAUGAUCCCCCACACUGGUACUGAGACACGGACCAGACUCCUACGGGAGGCAGCAGUAGGGAAUAUUGGGCAAUGGGCGAGAGCCUGACCCAGCCAUGCCGCGUGCAGGAAGACGGCCUUCUGGGUUGUAAACUGCUUUUAUCAGGGAAGAAAGAGGUGCUGCGGCGCCAGUUGACUGUACCUGAUGAAUAAGCACCGGCUAACUCCGUGCCAGCAGCCGCGGUAAUACGGAGGGUGCAAGCGUUGUCCGGAUUUAUUGGGUUUAAAGGGUGCGU
rnacentral:rRNA from 1 species